UUAACUAAAACCAAAAUAGAGGUUUUUCACUGUUAAUGAAAAUAUUGAUUAAUAAAAUCUAGUUAAA
rnacentral:tRNA from 1 species